rnacentral:rRNA from 1 species
GAUAUUGCGCACUGGAGGGAACUCUGACGACGCGACGCCCCGUGAGCGAGAAAGGGUUUCGGUUCGUAAAACCCUGUCCUUGGGGAAGAGGACGACGCUGUUUGGCCACUUGACGGUACCCAAGGAGGAAGCACCGGCCGACUACCUGCCUGCCGCCGCGGUAGUAAGUAGGGGGCAAGCGCUGUCAGGAAGUAUUGGGCGUAAAGGGUGCGUAGGCGGCGGUUUAAGUCAGAUGUGAAAGACGACGGCUGAACAGUGGGGUUGCAUUUGAAACUGGAGGGCUUGAGGAGCUGAGAGGGUAGUGGAAUUCCCAGUGUAGCGGUGGAAUGAGUAGAUAUUGGGAGGAACACCAGUGGCGAAGGCGACUACCUGGUCGAAAUAUGACGCUGAGGCACGAAAGCUAGGGGAGCAAACA